rnacentral:misc_RNA from 1 species
CCUUAAAGAACCUGACUUUGUAGUGCUCACACAGAUUGUCUGAUGAACGUAAAGAAGCAAGGCGUCUUGCGAUUGAGACUUCAGUGUCCCCUUCGUCUAGAGGCCCAGGACACCGCCCUUUCACGGCGGUAACAGGGGUUCGAAUCCCCUAGGGGACGCCACUUGCUGGUUCGUGAGUGAAAGACGCGUGCCGAGGUAUCUCAAAACUCAUCUUCGGGUGAUGUUUGAGAUAUUUGCUCUUUAAAAAUCUGGAUCAAGCUGAAAAUUGAAACGACACACAGUUAAUGUGUGUUCGAGUCUCUCAAAUUUUCGCAAUCAGAAGUGAAACAUCUUCGGGUUGUGA